rnacentral:rRNA from 1 species
GUGCCAGCAGCCGCGGUAAUACAGAGGGUGCGAGCGUUAAUCGGAAUUACUGGGCGUAAAGCGCACGUAGGUGGUUUUGUAAGUCGGAUGUGAAAUCCCCGGGCUCAACCCGGGAACUGCAUUCGAGACUGCAUUACUCGAGUAUGGGAGAGGGAAGCGGAAUUUCCGGUGUAGCGGUGAAAUGCGUAGAUAUCGGAAGGAACAUCAGUGGCGAAAGCGGCUUCCUGGCCCAAUACUGACACUCAUGUGCGAAAGCGUGGGGAGCAAACAGGAUUAGAUACCCCGGUAGUCC